rnacentral:rRNA from 1 species
GUGGGGAAUAUUGGACAAUGGGCGAAAGCCUGAUCCAGCCAUGCCGCGUGUGUGAAGAAGGUCUUCGGAUUGUAAAGCACUUUAAGUUGGGAGGAAGGGCAGUAAGUUAAUACCUUGCUGUUUUGACGUUACCAACAGAAUAAGCACCGGCUAACUUCGUGCCAGCAGCCGCGGUAAUACGAAGGGUGCAAGCGUUAAUCGGAAUUACUGGGCGUAAAGCGCGCGUAGGUGGUUCAGCAAGUUGAAGGUGAAAUCCCCGGGCUCAACCUGGGAACUGCCUCCAAAACUGCAUGACUAGAGUACGGUAGAGGGUAGUGGAAUUUCCUGUGUAGCGGUGAAAUGCGUAGAUAUAGGAAGGAACACCAGUGGCGAAGGCGACUACCUGGACUGAUACUGACACUGAGGUGCGAAAGCGUGGGGAGCAAACAGGAUUAGAAACCCGGGUAGUCC